UUUUAUUUAAUAUCACAUUGUGUUCCAAUAAGAAGAGGAAGAAGCAGGAAUACUUUUGUUGAAAAGUGCCUGAUCAUCGUACACAGGAAUUAUUUAAUUCUUAAACUUCACUUGUUUGCAACAAUGGAAGAGUUGCAUUUUAGUCGAUUACAAGAGUGACAAAUGCAGUGCGUGUAUACUACAGUGUGUUUGGACUUAUUAGUUCGUUAAAGUUUAAUUUUUGAAUUAUAACUAGAAAAACAUUGACCAAUAAGAACGCGAGCCACGGAAGUGUUUGUUACGCGCCAUUAUUGACUAUAGCAGCGAACAAACAAAAUGUAAAAUUUCUACUCUCGGUGUUUACUUUAUUUUGACCCAUAGAAUCAACUUUGUCGGCAGAUUUAUUAAAUGACACCGACGCAUAACCAACUGAGCUCGCGCUCUCACUAUUGGUACUUUUCUUUAAUAAUUCGAAAACUGAGCUUUAACGAGGAUUUUGGUAAAGGAAAAAAUUGUUCAGUAUCAUUCUAUCUAUUAUCUCUGCGAUUCACUUGUCACUUUGUAGACUUGUGUACUCUGUAACGGUGUAAUUAAGUUUGGAGAAUAUUUUUUAUUUCAUCAACUAUGGCUUUGAAGGGCGAUGGGAAAUGUCUAAAUAUUUUUGGAGGUUUGAAUAUUAUUUGAAUUUUUAUUACUGUUUCAAUAUUAUUAUUUAAUACGUGGUAAGCAACAAGACACAGAACUCAUUAGAAAUACAAAUAUUUUUAAGUUACGUACUUUAGAACUUUGAACCUUUGCAGUUUCAGAAUUCCUGAACUUUGGAACCUUCGUGACCGUGAGAAAUGAAGAAUGAGACGUACCUUUUCCGAUGGCUUCUCCUUGAACUUUUCGCCUCCGGCACCCUAAACCGAUCUAAUUCAAAUCUCAAACCUGUUCUAAACUCACAGCAUAUUAAUCGAAUUAGAUUAUGAAAUCCUACAAAUCUUCAGACUACAAAAUCACGUUAAAAAUAAAAGGACUUUGAUAUCCCUAUUCUCACACUACUGAAAAGUUGGUAUUAGAUAAUGAGACGAUGACGCGAGUCUCUUUCGCAAACGUGUGAACCGGUCUUGACACUUUUUCACGUGGUCGAAUAAUUUUCCAUUCUUCGAAAGCGAAAGACUUCAUCUUUGGACUCAUCGUCAGUCAUUCAUGCACGUAUGUUUUCUUCCUUCAUUUAGUAGAUGUGUUAAAGCUAAACGAUCGCGUGAACUAAGUUUUCUUUGGAGGGAGGGGAAGGAAAUGGAAAAUCGGUCAAUUAGCGAAAGGGCGGUUUUAACAGAAUAAGAUCUGUUAAUAAUAUUAACAGAAUAAGUUUUAAUAGGAGAAGACGUUUUAACAGGAGAAGAAGAUAUUAAAGCAAAGUCGGUAAAUUGGGAAAGGUAUUUAGGCACCAAGGAAAUAGCGAAAGGUUCCUUUGAAUGAAUGUUACAACUGGAAAAGGUAGUUAGAUACCAAGGAGGUAGCGAAAGGUACCUUUGGAUGAAUGUUAAAGAAACGGUGAUACUCAGAAAACAGGAAUCACUUAGAAAAAUAGGAAUUUUGUUAAUUUGCUAUAUAUCAUAGAGUGGUUACCCAAUUAAUUUGCAAAAGAAUCGACACGGUUUGUAAUAAGGAAUUUGUAAUCUUGCUAUAAAAUUUGUGAAGUUUAUCUCUGUUACUGUUUUAGCACCCUAUACGUCGACGAAUGAAUUUUGGUAAAAAUCGAUGUGGAGAUGUAGAUUAAUAAUAUAAUAAUUAUCUUCGAAUUGAAUAGAAUCGUGAAUGCUUAAACUGCAUCAGUGAAGCAGUUACAUAAUUUCGUAGAAAUGUUUUAUUCUCGUGCCUCGACAUUUAUAUGGAUUUAUUGUCAUCGACAGACACGAGUUUACGAAUCGACAGAAUUGCUCUCCGAUACGCACAAUGGGUAUUGUAACCACAGAAAUAUGUCUCAAAGAUUUCAGCUGUACUAUCAAGCUAUUCUUAUGAAUACGUGUAACAAAACUUGCAGUGUAUGGUAAAAAGAAAAUAUAUUGCGAUGUGUCUAUUGUGGAUGCAUUUCAAGAAUAAGCAAUAUGAAUUUGUGAUUAACUGAAGUUAAAGCAUGGAAAUGCGAUAAAGUAAAAAAUGGAAAAAAUGUGAAACGGUAUUAUAUUCGUAUGAGGCUUUCUUUUCGAGAAAAUCAAUUUUGAAAUCGCGAGAUAGAGUGAGCGAUAGCAGCAGGGUCGGCUCUAAACUCUGAGGGCCCGGGGUAAAAAUUAAAUUAUUAUUAAUUCUUAUUAAAAUGGAUUAAUGCGUUGGUAAAAAUUAAUUGACGAUAAUAAACGAAAUGUAGUGUAAUUAUUACGUAUUCAUAUUUUCAUUGCAUCUUGCAAUUCUGUCGAAUCUUUAUCCUAAUAUAGUAAACUGUAGAAGUACAGUAUAUUGCCAUAUUUCAUAUUAAGUUUUAUAUCACCACUCGCUAUAGAGAUACCAUAGUCAAACCCUCUGUGGAAAUAUCUCUUGCUAUAUUGCCAAUUCCAAGAGCUUCCACUCUUACAGACCCACGGCGAUAUAACGAGAGUCAAUUCUAUGCUCAAGAUAUGUCAAAGAUUCCGCCAAUAAUCGAAAUAAUAAUACUGAAUGUAUCUAAUUUCUAUGAAAUUAGGUAUUGAAGAAAGGGACUCGGAUUAGGUAACUUAACCCAACCUAACUCGAAUCUCCACCUACUUGCAACUAAUACAACAAAAUUGGUAUGAAAUAAAAUAUAAAAUAAUGCUUAUUAUAAAAUAAGUGUUUGUUUUAUUUAUUUAUUCUAUAUGUAUCGUUAUUACGUUUUCAAGAAUCAUUUUCUCGAAAAAGAAAUCGCAUACGAAAACAUUUUAUUCCUUACUUUCGAGUUAGUUUUUCAUGUACAAUCAACAGUUUUCCGCAUAUAUUACCAGUUUCUCGAUUUCCUUCGAUUGAACAGGUUAAGAAACAACGCUUCCGAGUUUUGAAGAUACAAAAAUUGUUCGAAGAUCAAUUCCUGUACAAGUUGAGACGACAAGAAUCGGAAAUAAGAGAGAAAAGAAAAUGACAACAACAACAAUAAACUAGUUAAAAGCUAGAAACAAUAGUAAAAGAAGGAAAUGUUUAUCGAGACUCGAAGAUUAACUUCGUACAACAUUACGUCUACGUUAACAGUCUUGUCGACGUUGUUUUCUCUUUCAGCGUAACUUCGGUUUUUUUUUUCUUUAUCGUUUUUUCUUUCGUUUUUUUUUUUAUUACAAAUUGCUCUGAAAUACUUCUCUAAUACGUUAUUAAAAUCUUGGCAUAAUAAACUUCAAUAAUACGAAUACUUUCAGAAGAAAGCACGUCUUUUGACACCCAUUUAACGUCAACGUUUCAUUUAUUAUGCGAUCCGAUCUAUUUCCCUUGUAAAAAUAUACAACAUCAAAUUUUUACAGGAUCGAAUUCGUUCCGUCUUCGUCUUCAUCCUCUUCGUUUAUUUUUAUCUAUUUUUUUUACCUCGGAUUUUCUUUUAUUUCUCUGUGCGGUCAUAAAUAAAAAUUCUUCAAAUUCUUUCCCCGUAACGGGAAGAGUACAAAAAGUCUGUAAUCUUAACACGAGAUUUGUAUACGAUUCUUAGGGUAAACGUUUUCUCUUAGGGUAAACAUUUUCUCUUCUAUUCGCAACAUUGUACAAGUUCUACCAUUUCUUUCGUUUAACCUUUGGACAGCGGAUACACUCGGUUCACCUGAUACUGUCCCUUACUGUAUUCGUUUACAUUUAGUUUAAUACAUUGUCCGCAAAAUAUAUUAGGAUAUAAUGUGAAAGGAAUAGAUAUUUAAACUUCAGACAUGUAAAAUUUCAAAUGUCUCAAUCGUUCAUUCGUCAAAUACUGAAACAGGUAAAUUUUAUUUGAAAUAUUUUUUCGAAUAACAAAUAAUUUGAUAAUUAUAUAUAAAAUACAAAUACAAAUUCUCGCAAGGUAUGAUCUGCUGAGAUCGCGAUUCUGUAAUUUAAGCGAUUAAAAAUUGCCAGUUUGCCAAGUCAGAUCGCUGUCCAAAGGUCAGUCAAAUCCAAAGCCAAAAACAAACGGCGAAUAAGAGAUUUUUCUAUUUUCUCUUUCGGAAUUUCGAUCUCACCACCGACAAUUUUCUACGUUCCGCGGUUGACUGUCACCUGGGGGUCACCGGUGGCCGACACCAAUACAAGAGAAUAAAAGAUACAUUUUGAAUAAUAGAUAGUUAGUAUUAAUCUAAGAUAGAAAAUUGAAAGGUAGAAUUUAAUCGAUCGUUUUUUAUUGAUAAUCAAAAUUAAUUCUAAGUCGUAUGAAAAGUUUCUUCGAACGCUUCGGUUGUUCAGCUAUCACUAAAAACUUUCAUGGGCGUCUGCCAUAGAUGCCUCCCUUAGCAGCCACCGUGUUAACAACAAUUUACCGAAGCAACAACGCUCGUGUAUCAUGGUGGCCAGAACCAUACGUUUCGAGAGGAAAGAGCCUCACGAUUAUAUCUCCUUGCACGCGAAUCGACUCACGCUUAUUUUCUACGACGAACACCAAAGCUUUGAACACAAUCGGGGCAUUAGGGAGACAGAGUCGGACGACGAUAGGGGAGGGAUUACGGAUGAAGGGUAGAGGGAGAGGUCCCAAUCAGAGAAAUGCCUCGCAAUCGCGUCUAAAAUAGCAAACCGAUCACACAGUUCCUCAUCCACACGCAACGCACGCGACAAUUAACAAAAUCGGGGAAAAGAACAGACGGCUAGGAAUCGCGUGCGGAAAACAGAACAUUUUCGACGAGAUUAUUAUUACGUAUGCAAGACGUUUCAAACAAUUCAUAUAAAUAUCCUUAAAACGGUUCAAGAUGUUCCCACAUGUUGAUAGAAAUAUUACAUGACAUCAAGCGAUACUUAGCUCUUAAUGAAAUUAUUAAAUUAGCUCUUAAUAUGUGGAAAGAAUAAGGUGCAAGUUUAGUGUAAAAUUAAUCCAACUGUUUCACCUUUCACUCAUAAG
rnacentral:lncRNA from 1 species